GAUGAACGUUAGCUACAGGCUUAACACAUGCAAGUCGAGGGGUAACGAGAGGAAAGCUUGCUUUCCUUGUCGACGACCGGCGCACGGGUGAGUAACGCGUAUCCAACCUGCCCCCAACUAGGGAAUAACCUUGCGAAAGUAAGACUAAUACCCUAUAAUUUCCUCAGAUGUCAUCUGACGAGGAAUAAAGAUUUAUCGGUUGUGGAUGGGGAUGCGUCUGAUUAGCUUGUUGGCGGGGUAACGGCCCACCAAGGCAACGAUCAGUAGGGGUUCUGAGAGGAAGGUCCCCAACAUUGGAACUGAGACACGGUCCAAACUCCUACGGGAGGCAGCAGUGAGGAAUAUUGGUCAAUGGGCGGAAGCCUGAACCAGCCAAGUAGCGUGCAGGAUGACGGCCCUAUGAGUUGUAAACUGCUUUUAUACAGGAAUAAAGUUAGCCACGUGUGGUUAUUUGUAGGUACUGUAUGAAUAAGGACCGGCUAAUUCCGUGCCAGCAGCCGCCGUAA
rnacentral:rRNA from 1 species